rnacentral:rRNA from 1 species
UACGAAGGGGGCUAGCGUUGUUCGGAAUUACUGGGCGUAAAGCGCACGUAGGCGGACAUUUAAGUCAGGGGUGAAAUCCCAGUGCUCAACUCUGGAACUGCCUUUGAUACUGGGUAUCUCGAGUAUGGAAGAGGUGAGUGGAAUUCCGAGUGUAGAGGUGAAAUUCGUAGAUAUUCGGAGGAACACCAGUGGCGAAGGCGGCUCACUGGUCCAUUACUGACGCUGAGGUGCGAAAGCGUGGGGAGCAAACAGG